rnacentral:rRNA from 1 species
AGAGUUUGAUCCUGGCUCAGGACGAACGCUGGCGGCGUGCCUAAUACAUGCAAGUAGGACGCACAGCCUAUACCGUAGCUUGCUACACCAUAGGCUGUGAGUUGCGAACGGGUGAGUAACGCGUAGGUAACCUGCCUAUUAGAGGGGGAUAACUAUUGGAAACGAUAGCUAAUACCGCAUAACAGUAUGUAACACAUGUUAGAUGCUUGAAAGAUGCAAUUGCAUCGCUAGUAGAUGGACCUGCGUUGUAUUAGCUAGUAGGUAGGGUAAUGGCCUACCUAGGCAACGAUACAUAGCCGACCUGAGAGGGUGAUCGGCCACACUGGGACUGAGACACGGCCCAGACUCCUACGGGAGGCAGCAGUAGGGAAUCUUCGGCAAUGGGGGGAACCCUGACCGAGCAACGCCGCGUGAGUGAAGAAGGUUUUCGGAUCGUAAAGCUCUGUUGUUAAGGAAGAACGAGUGUGAGAAUGGAAAGUUCAUACUGUGACGGUACUAACCAG